AUGGCUAAUGCUGCCAUGCUUUUAAUGACUAUAUUUUUAUUCAUUUUCAAGCUC
rnacentral:sRNA from 1 species